rnacentral:rRNA from 1 species
UGAGGAAUAUUGGGCAAUGCCCGCAAGGGUGACCCAGCAACGCCGCGUGGAGGAUGAAUGUCGUAAGAUUGUAAACUCCUGUUAGAGGGGAAGAAUAGUACCGGUUGGACCGGUAUAUGACUGUACCCUCAGAGAAAGCCCCGGCUAACUACGUGCCAGCAGCCGCGGUAAUACGUAGGGGGCAAGCGUUGUCCGGAUUUACUGGGUGUAAAGGGCGCGCAGGCGGGAUAAAAAGUCAGUGGUGAAAUCCUACAGCUUAACUGUAGAACUGCCUUUGAUACUUUUAUUCUUGAGUUCGGGAGAGAGAGACGGAAUUCCAGGUGUAGUGGUGAAAUGCGUAGAUAUCUGGAAGAACACCAGUUGCGAAGGCGGUCUCUUGGUCCGACACUGACGCUGAGGCGCGAAAGCGUGGGGAGCAAACA